UGUGCGGGCGUGUGAGUGUGUGUGUGUGAGUGUGUGUCGCUCCGUGUCCACGCUCAUGCACACACCCACACGCCCGCACGCCGG
rnacentral:pre_miRNA from 1 species